rnacentral:rRNA from 1 species
AGAGUUUGAUCCUGGCUCAGGAUGAACGCUGGCGGCGUGCCUAAUACAUGCAAGUCCAGCGAACGUCAUAGAAGCUUGCUUCUAUGACGUUAGCGGCGGACGGGUGAGUAACACGUGGGCAACCUGCCUGUAAGACUGGGAUAACUUCGGGAAACCGAAGCUAAUACCGGAUAGGAUCUUCUCCUUCAUGGGAGAUGAUUGAAAGAUGGUUUCGGCUAUCACUUACAGAUGGGCCCGCGGUGCAUUAGCUAGUUGGUGUGGUAACGGCUCACCAAGGCAACGAUGCAUAGCCGACCUGAGAGGGUGAUCGGCCACACUGGGACUGAGACACGGCCCAGACUCCUACGGGAGGCAGCAGUAGGGAAUCUUCCGCAAUGGACGAAAGUCUGACGGAGCAACGCCGCGUGAGUGAUGAAGGCUUUCGGGUCGUAAAACUCUGUUGUCAGGGAAGAACAAGUACGAGAGUAACUGCUCGUACCUUGACGGUACCUAACCAGAAAGCCACGGCUAACUACGUGCCAGCAGCCGCGGUAAUACGUAGGUGGCAAGCGUUAUCCGGAAUUAUUGGGCGUAAAGCGCGCGCAGGCGGUUUCUUAAGUCUGAUGUGGAAGCCCACGGCUCAACCGUGGAGGGUCAUUGGAA